UGGGGCGUCGUCUAACGGUAGGACACCAGGUUCUGGUUCUGGCGGUCGGGGUUCGAGUCCCUGCGCCCCAGCAA
rnacentral:tRNA from 1 species